rnacentral:rRNA from 1 species
CAACUUUCAGCAACGGAUCUCUUGGCUCUCGCAUCGAUGAAGAACGCAGCAAAUGCGAUAAGUAAUGUGAAUUGCAGAAUUCAGUGAAUCAUCGAAUCUUUGAACGCACCUUGCRCUCCUUGGUAUUCCGAGGAGUAUGCCUGUUUGAGUGUCAUUA